UACAGGGGGUGCAAACGUUGCUCGGAAUUACUGGGCGUAAAGGGCGCGUAGGCGGCCUUCUAAGUCGAACGUGAAAUCCCCGGGCUCAACCCGGGAACUGCGUCCGAUACUGGAAGGCUUGAAUCCGGGAGAGGGAUGCGGAAUUCCAGGUGUAGCGGUGAAAUGCGUAGAUAUCAGGAGGAACACCGGUGGCGAAGGCGGGUCUCUGGGCCGUAACUGACGCUGAGGAGCGAAAGCAUGGGGAGCGAACAGG
rnacentral:rRNA from 1 species